GACAGAGGGUGCAAACGUUGUUCGGAAUUACUGGGCGUAAAGCGUGUGUAGGCGGCCUUGUAAGUCGGAUGUGAAAGCCCUGGGCUCAACCCAGGAAGUGCACUCGAAACUGCAGGGCUCGAGUACUGGAGAGGUUGGUGGAAUUCUCGGUGUAGAGGUGAAAUUCGUAGAUAUCGAGAGGAACACCGGUGGCGAAGGCGGGUCUCUGGGCCGAUACUGACGCUGAGGAGCGAAAGCGUGGGGAGCGAACAGG
rnacentral:rRNA from 1 species